AUUGAACGCUGGCGGCAGGCCUAACACAUGCAAGUCGAGCGGAUGAAGGGAGCUUGCUCCUGGAUUCAGCUGCGGACGGGUGAGUAAUGCCUAGGAAUCUGCCUGGUAGUGGGGGAUAACGUCCGUAAACGGGCGCUAAUACCGCAUACGUCCUGAUGGAGAAAGUGGGGGAUCUUCGGACCUCACGCUAUCAGAUGAGCCUAGGUCGGAUUAGCUAGUUGGUGGGGUAAAGGCCUACCAAGGCGACUAUCCGUAACUGGUCUGAGAGGAUGAUCAGUCACACUGGAACUGAGACACGGUCCAGACUCCUACGGGAGGCAGCAGUGGGGAAUAUUGGACAAUGGGCGAAAGCCUGAUCCAGCCAUGCCGCGUGUGUGAAGAAGGUCUUCGGAUUGUAAAGCACUUUAAGUUGGGAGGAAGGGCAGUAAGUUAAUACCUUGCUGUUUUGACGUUACCAACAGAAUAAGCACCGGCUAACUUCGUG
rnacentral:rRNA from 1 species